GUGCACCUCCUUUGAACCCGUGGAGUCUGCCUGUGACCCCCGGGCAAGCUGUGGUGCGAGAGCAACAGCGGCUUGUUAUAACUGGGGCUCCUUGGUAGUCUGCCCAAGCUGCCCUUUUAAAAACAAGUCACACCA
ensembl:snoRNA small nucleolar RNA SNORA50